GGAUAGUACCUGUGAGAUUGUUGAAUGACAACCUAAGGUCAUUAAGAGAACUUAACAUUCCUAAUUCUUGAGGGAUGGAACCAGAAAGUUGGUUCUCAUGAAGAUAUAGAGUGGUUAGGUUGCUUAAGUUUCCAAGAGAAGCAGGGAUAGUACCUGUGAGAUUGUUGAAUGACAACCUAAGGUCAUUAAGAGAACUUAACAUUCCUAAUUCUUGAGGGAUGGAACCAGAAAGUUGGUUCUCAUGAAGAUAUAGAGUGGUUAGGUUGCUUAAGUUUCCAAGAGAAGCAGGGAUAGUACCUGUGAGAUUGUUGAAUGACAACCUAAGGUCAUUAAGAGAACUUAACAUUCCUAAUUCUUGAGGGAUGG